GACGAACGCUGGCGGCGUGCCUAACACAUGCAAGUCGAACGGGGAGUUAGCAAUAACUCCUAGUGGCGAACGGGUGAGUAACGCGUAGACAACCUGCCUCUAAACUGGGGACAACACCGCGAAAGUGGUGCUAAUACCGAAUGUGGUAUCUUGAUCGCAUGAUUGAGAUAAGAAAGAUGGCCUCUACAUGUAAGCUAUCGAUUAGAGAUGGGUCUGCGUCUGAUUAGCUAGUUGGUGAGGUAACGGCUCACCAAGGCAACGAUCAGUAGCCGGUCUGAGAGGAUGAACGGCCACACUGGGACUGAGACACGGCCCAGACUCCUACGGGAGGCAGCAGUGGGGAAUCUUCCGCAAUGGACGAAAGUCUGACGGAGCAACGCCGCGUGAGUGAAGAAGGUCUUCGGAUUGUAAAGCUCUGUCGUUUGGGACGAACGUAUCCUGUGUGAAUAAUGCGGGAUAAUGACGGUACCAAAGGAGGAAGCCACGGCUAACUACGUGCCAGCCGCCGCCGUAACAC
rnacentral:rRNA from 1 species